UUUCCGGUUGAUCCUGCCGGACCUGACUGCUAUCGGAUUGAUACUAAGCCAUGCGAGUCUUUGUAGUAAUACAAGGCAUACGGCUCAGUAACGCGUAGUCAACCUACCCUAUGGACAAGAAUAAUCUCGGGAAACUGAGCAUAAUUCUUGAUAGAUCAUAAUGCCUGGAAUGGUUUAUGGUUAAAAUGAUUCGUCGCCAUAGGAUGGGACUGCGGCCUAUCAGCUUGUUGGUGAGGUAAUGGCCCACCAAGGCGAUAACAGGUACGGGCUCUGAGAGGAGAAGCCCGGAGAUGGGUACUGAGACAAGGACCCAGGCCCUAUGGGGCGCAGCAGGCGAGAAAACUUUGCAAUGUGCGAAAGCACGACAAGGUUAGUCCGAGUGAUUUCUGCUAAAGAGAUCUUUUGCUAGUCAUAAAACCACUAGUGAAUAAGGGGUGGGCAAGUUCUGGUGUCAGCCGCCGCGGUAAAACCAGCACCUCAAGUGGUCAGGAUGAUUAUUGGGCCUAAAGCAUCCGUAGCCGGCUCUGUAAGUUUUCGGUUAAAUCUAUGCGCUCAACGUAUGGGCUGCCGAAAAUACUGCAGAGAUAGGGAGUGGGAGAGGUAGACGGUACUCGGUAGGAAGGGGUAAAAUCCUUUGAUCUAUCGAUGACCACCUGUGGCGAAGGCGGUCUACCAGAACACGUUCGACGGUGAGGGAUGAAAGCUGGGGGAGCAAACCGGAUUAGAUACCCGGGUAGUCCCAGCUGUAAACGAUGCAGACUCGAUGAUGCAUUGGCAUAUAGCCAGUGCAGUGUCGCAGGGAAGCCGUUAAGUCUGCCGCCUGGGAAGUACGUACGCAAGUAUGAAACUUAAAGGAAUUGGCGGGGGAGCACCACAAGGGGUGAAGCCUGCGGUUCAAUUGGAUUCAACGCCGGGA
rnacentral:rRNA from 1 species